GUGACUGCAGAGCAAGGUGUAUGUGCGCACCACUGAUUUCACUUUAUAUAUGUACUGUAAUUUGUACUUUAUUAAUAUAUACCUGAAGCAAUGCAGUUUGAAAUGAAGUUUCAGGCUUUGACUCUUCUGCUCUGGAUACCUUAUGGGGACACUAAUGUUUAUGUACACCAACCACCCAUGAAGAGCUAUCCCUCACUGGGGCAGAAUGUCACACUUACUUGCUUCAUAGACAGCACCACCUGUUCUGGUUUAGUUUACUGGUACUGGUUCCAGCACUUUCUUAGUCAUCCUCUUCAACAGAUUCUGUCGGCUUACAGCACUUCAGAUACAAUCACUUACCAGGACAGAUUUAAUGAUGGUUCCUUCCUGGCAGUGAAAGACAAAGCAAGUUUUAAUUUAACAAUAAGGAAUUUAAGCAAUUCUCAUUUAGCUACGUACUACUGUGCUGUCUCCUGCUACACAGCCAUGCAUUUUGGGAAUGGAACAGACAUCAUUCACAGAGGAGUUCCAGCAGGUGACGAUGGCUAUGCCAUUCCACUUCCCAUUGUGGUAGUAAGAGGGAUAAUUGGAGUCCUGGUGGUCAUAUCUGCUGUCUGUUUCAUUAUGGAUCUUUGCUAUUAAGGUGAUCCAGGCCUGCUCAUCAGAUUAAGAAAAUGAGUCCAUCAUUCAGAAGAUUUUUUUCCCUUACCACACAGUAGAAUAACAAACUUCACUUCACCAUUUUAAACCAUAGUUAUGUAUAUGGAUGUGCCAUGUAAUAAUAGCAAAAAGUUUCAAAGUUCAGUGUUCUGAUUUGCUACACAAUGAACAAAAAUAUUUAAUGUUACAGUUUUCUGUAAUAGUUGCAAGACAUAUUUUCUAAUUCAUGAUUACCAUUAUAUUAUAACAGUAUUCUAAAUGCAGAUCUUUAAAAUAAUGCAUAGGUCUUAAAUAUACAGGUAGUAUGGUUCUGAUGUUGUACAUCUAGUCUUAAUUUUACAUCAAGACACGAUGCAAGAGACACGUGCCAGGACUGCAGUACACCUGUUUCUUUCUGAACCCAGAUAAUUGUAAACAAACAAUGCAUUCGAGUUUCAGUCUCUGAGCCAUGACAAAUGAUGAAUUAAAGAAGUUUGCUUCUGUGCA